rnacentral:tRNA from 1 species
UAAAAAGAAAGAAUGGGAUUUGAACCCACGGUAUUUGUAUACUUAAGUUUAGCAAACUUACACUUUAAACCACUCAGUCAUCUUUCU